rnacentral:lncRNA from 1 species
GGAGGCCAAGAGGGGCUUUCAGCCAAUGAAAACUCACAGACACCUGGCCUUGAGAAGGGGGCGUUCCAGACACACAUCGUCAGGUGCGGCAGUCCCCAAGAAACCUUUCCUUGUGUUGACCCAAUUCAGCAGCUUCGAGUCCGCUCUGCGAACUUUAGCAGGGUCCUGCCCAAGCGACUCUGCUCCAAGAGCAGGAACAAGACCCCAAUCUCCGACUGCCGGUCCAGAGCUCCAGUUCGACAAUGGGGUGUGUGCACUUUGCAGCCAAUGGAAGCAGCAUGAUCAAACUGCGCCCUGAGACUCGCUCCUCGAUUUGGUGAAAUCUGGAGAUGGGCCGGCUCCGAGGCUGUCUGUGCAGGGGAGGUGAUCUUAAAUUGAAUUGCAGCCCUCCGAGGGGUGUUUGCCCCGUCAG